rnacentral:rRNA from 1 species
GAUGAACGCUGGCGGCGUGCCUAAUACAUGCAAGUCGAGCGAACAGACGAGGAGCUUGCUCCUCUGACGUUAGCGGCGGACGGGUGAGUAACACGUGGAUAACCUACCUAUAAGACUGGGAUAACUUCGGGAAACCGGAGCUAAUACCGGAUAGUAUAUUGAACCGCAUGGUUCAAUAGUGAAAGACGGUUUUGCUGUCACUUAUAGAUGGAUCCGCGCCGCAUUAGCUAGUUGGUAAGGUAACGGCUUACCAAGGCGACGAUGCGUAGCCGACCUGAGAGGGGGAUCGGCCACACUGGAACUGAGACACGGUCCAGACUCCUACGGGAGGCAGCAGUAGGGAAUCUUCCGCAAUGGGCGAAAGCCUGACGGAGCAACGCCGCGUGAGUGAUGAAGGUCUUCGGAUCGUAAAACUCUGUUAUUAGGGAAGAACAAAUGUGUAAGUAACUAUGCACGUCUUGACGGUACCUAAUCAGAAAGCCACGGCUAACUACGUG